rnacentral:rRNA from 1 species
GACGAACGCUGGCGGCGUGCUUAACACAUGCAAGUCGAACGGAAAGGCCCUGCUUUUGUGGGGUGCUCGAGUGGCGAACGGGUGAGUAACACGUGAGUAACCUGCCCUUGACUUUGGGAUAACUUCAGGAAACUGGGGCUAAUACCGGAUAGGAGCUCCUGCUGCAUGGUGGGGGUUGGAAAGUUUCGGCGGUUGGGGAUGGACUCGCGGCUUAUCAGCUUGUUGGUGGGGUAGUGGCUUACCAAGGCUUUGACGGGUAGCCGGCCUGAGAGGGUGACCGGGCCACUGGGGGGCUGAGAGCGGGCCAGGACUCCACGGGGGGGAAGCGGGGGGGAUUUUGGCACAGGGGGUGGAGGCUGGAGGCGGCAGCCCCGGGGGGGGGAGGGCGGCUUUGGGUUGUGACCCCCCUUGCCCCGGGGACGAGGGGGGGGGGAGGUAAUGGGAAAAAGAAGCACGGGCAAACUAGGGC